AAGUCGUAACAAGGUAUCCGUAGGUGAACCUGCGGAUGGAUCAUUAACAAAGAUCUUAUCCUACACGUUUUGUGAACCGUUUUGAAAACAGUCAGCGGUAGCCCUACCGUUACCUAACGGUAGGCCGCUGCUGGCUGUAUCCACUCUCACGUAAACCCACACUAAAAUCCGGUUGCCUGAACAGUAACAACUUUUAGCAAUGGAUCUCUUGGCUCUC
rnacentral:misc_RNA from 1 species